CCUCCAGCGGGCGUCUUCAUAAAGCUUUGCUUACUUCCCCAAGUAAUCCUACAGAGGUCCAUGCAGGCCAGACGUUUUGAUUCCUAUACCCUAUCAGAGGUCCAUGCAGGCCAGACGUUUUGAUCCCUAUACCCUAUCAGAGGUCCAUGCAGGCCAGACAUUUUGAUCCCUAAACCCUAUCAGAGGUCCAUGCAGGCCAGACGUUUUGAUUCCUAUACCCUAUCAGAGGUCCAUGCAGGCCAGACGUUUUGAUUCCUAUACCCUAUCAGAGGUCCAUGCAGGCCAGACGUUUUGAUUCCUAUACCCUAUCAGAGGUCCAUGCAGGCCAGACGUUUUGAUUCCUAUACCCUAUCAGAGGUCCAUGCAGGCCAGACGUUUUGAUUCCUAUACCCUAUCAGAGGUCCAUGCAGGCCAGACGUUUUGAUUCCUAUACCCUAUCAGAAAGAGCAUAGCAAUGUAAUGAAUUUCCUUGACAUGAAGCAACCCAUAGCCUCAGCUACUACAGCACAGAAAUACAUCUUAAAACACGCUAUUCUGUUCUUUUGAAAUAAAUAGUCUUAGUAUCAUGUUUUGUCUUUUAUGAUAUUUAUCUUAAUGGAGGCCUACUGCUGGAGUGUAAGAUACACGUGUUUGGGUAAAUCCAGGGACAGGUGGGUUCAAGGUUUUGAUUGUAUUGACGUGGAGCUGUAGGACGGUUUUACUGCAGCUGUCUGAACAUAACUUACAUACCGGCCUGAAGGCCUGCGUCAACAUACUGGACCUCAAUCAAUCAUUCAUGGAUUUGUGCUCAUCAUCACCCCAGGUGGCACACAUACUGGUCCCGCGUGGGAGUCAAACCCACAACCCUGGCGUUGCAAGCACCAUGCUCUACCAACUGAGCUACACGGGACUGGACUAGCCUUUUAGUGACUUUGUUUUGUGGGUGAAAUGAAGAGAGAAGAUUCAUGUUAAAGUCUCGUUUAUGAGGAUAUUGCUACACCAUCAAGUUGUUAAAAGAACUCCAGCACCGAGAAGAGAAAAGGAGCCGUGAAUAAUGACAUGGUAAAUCAACCGGCAACAUGUCGGCUAAACCAGGAACGAAUUUGACUGUUAUUAAUCUUGGCUGUGCUAAAGACUUUAAAACCUUUUCGGUUAGAAUAGACCAUAUGGGAUUGAUUCUAAUUUGUUAGUCGGUUAUUCUUGUGUUUGUUGCGUUUCCACGGUUAGAAAUGCUCGGAGAACAGAUGAAUCACGCGUUCUGUAAUGAGCAGGCAGAGCUUGCUCCUCCUACCCUCCUUGAUCUCCGUCUUCACGUCAUUCUCAUUAGUAGAUAAACAUCCAUUAAUACAUCUCAAGUCCCUAAAAAUAGAAAUCAACUUGGCAACAGUCGUCCUGCUAAUAGCCCAUCGUGGGUGGAGGGAUUGUUGCCUCGGCCUGUCUGAGGUGGACUUCCAGAGCUCACUGGUGUGCCUGGCAUUGUGACUCCCAUCUCGUUCCUCGCCCUCUUCAACGCCUCAUUCUCCGUCAAUGCCGCCUGGCUCUGGACCAAUGCAUCAGCUGUGGCCCGUGUCUCUGCCCUCCGAGAAUGUUUCUCUCUCUGCUGGUCUGCCUUCGAUGACUCGAUCUCCUUCUUCAAAGUUUGAGUCUGAUCCGUGUGCACCUUCAUCAGAGGAGCGGAGUGGUACCGCCCUGAGCCCCCGUCGAUUACAGUGGGCUAUGAUAGAAACAGUAGGUCAAUGAUUAAUUACAAGUGGCGAUAAACACUCUCUACCCCUACACACAAAUGCUGUGUACAGAAACACAUUUUAAGAAUCUAGCAAAACGCACCUCUUUCUUGGCAACCAUAUGUUUUUUGGGGUGCGCCCCGUUGUUCAGUCCUUUGUCCACUGAUCUCCACGGACGGUUGUCGGCAUGGUUGUAUGCUCUGCAAACACACGUUCACGUUUUUUAGUGUACAAUUAUCGAUUUUAUUACACAGUAUGCCUACACAUUGAUAGGCUAUUUUCUUGAAUAGAAAAUGCACUGAAAUCAAAAUACCUUUUUAGUUUCAGUGAUCCUCUGAGCUCCGGCUCAUUUUCAAGUCCUCUGGUGGUUACGGUCCUAAACCCUGGAACGGGUAGCACCACAGAAAGAAGCUGGUCUGUUCUCUUUGGUCGCAAUGAAACAAUUCGGAGGUAAACAGAUGAUUUUUGAAUGGUAACUGUGUUAAGGGUGGAGUUUGGGGCGGGGUGAGGAGUACUGGAAAGGUGUGACUCUAGGUUACGAUAGGCCAUCAGUCUACAGCAGACCUCCCACUGUCCUCACUGGGAUGAUGCUGUAACACAUAAUGUAGCGUCACGACCAGGAUCUCUAUUCAGUGAAGUCAGACGAUUUUGGGCUUUCAGGAGGAAUGGAAACGUUUCCAAAAUAUUAUUAGACUUGGGGGGGGGGAUUACGGUCACGGACAGUGCUAUUCUCGCAAACUCUAUCGUCAGACUCCUGUGUUACAUCGUCCAGUUACAGCUUCUUCUGACAAAGUAGAAACAAAAAGAAAAGUGUAUUGUUUUGAGUGUGCUCGCGCAGGACAGAGGAAGAGGAAUUCUUACGCUGUUUUUUAAAAUUCAAUCACUCUCCUCUUCUUCGUCCUCAUCAUUCUGUUCACUCAAAUUCAAUUGUAAUACAUUUUGUCUCUCCCGUUCAACAACUCCAAAUCGCUUCUGCAUGUGCUUCACAGGGAUAACUUUGACAUAACAUGAUAUAGGUUCAUGAAAUAAUCAACCCUCUACACACUCACCUGUCACCCUCGGGACCUGGGGGUCACACACACGUACAGCUCCAGUAGGCUGACACUAGAGCCUAUUCCCCUGAGAGAGAAUGAAAAAAAGCGACCCGGCUCUAUGUAUUUGACUAGUUUGUGACUCACCGACUCUGCCCCACGGUUCGAGGGGGAAUAGGGGAUAGCCGAGGGUGACGGGGGGGAGUGUUGUAGAGAGUUUCCCUGAGAGGCCUGAUCAGCUCCAGCAGCCGAUCCCACAGGGAGUCACUGGGAGCAGUCCCAAGAGUUAACACACGGGAACUUCAUUCACACAUAGGAGAACAUGAACACGGGGGUGAAACGUGAACGGUAGUGGUUCUGUAAUGGACAGAAACAGAGGGAAUGAAUACACACAUACCCAAUGACUACAGCAGGGCACAAAGGCAGAGAUACAGAAUGUUACAGAAUACAGCAGUAAUGACUGUAUAGAUUGCGUAUGCCACCUGCAGAGUAUUACACCACACAGUAAACUCACGAGGGGCAACAUGCAAUAGACAACAGUAGUAACUAACUAUGAAGAACGAUAUACACACGUCACAACUCACUUCGGGCAGUCCAGUUGUUGACGGGCAGAGACAGAGAUGUUGCUCUCUGCCACUGCUUGAGGGAGACUGACAGUAUUGUGUGACCUGCAGAGUCAAGAGGAUGGGGAGAUGUCCAGCCCCCUAGUAACCUCUUUAGCAACCUAUCAGGGCACAGGUCAUUCAGGUCGGAGAGAGUUUGAGAGGCAGGUUUAUGGUACCCUCUAGAUCAGUGUUUCUCAGCUGGUUUUGCCUGCAGACCCAAAUUUGACAGUGGCAAUUGAGUCGCGACCCAAUACAAUGGACUGUCGAUGAUUACCUUUUGUAAUGUUGUGUUGCAGCUGCCUUCCUGGGAAAGCUUCACUUGUAAAAUAGACUCUUGUCUCAGUUAUGGUGGUAAAGAAAGUCAUUACACAGCCAUGUUAACUAGGAAGACAUUUAUUAUCAGUUAAGAGACUGAGCCAUUUUUUUUUGUAACAGUAUUUUUAUUGGAAUUUCACAAUUUUCACCCAUAUUAAGAGAUACAACAACAGAGACAAAGCAACAAAAAAACAGCACUCACACAUACCUACGCAUAUAUAUAUAAAUAUAUAUAUAUAUAUAUACACACAUACAUAUACAUACACACAUGCAUAUACACAUAUAUACGCUUACGCACAUACAUACCACACACACCCAUACAUACGUACACCAUUUCCCUCUUCCCGCUCGGUGCUUCUCUCACCCCGUCCCCAUCAUUGCGUCUCUCAAUACAUACAUUUUAAACAAACGUACAAACAGAAAUUAAA